GACUUUUGCUCCGAAGCACCUCCAUUCUGGGCCAAAAGUGGUUGAAAUCGCCACGUUUCUCGCUGUCAUAAUCUUCAACGCAGAAUUCGAAGCUAUCCUGAAGACCUUGGAAACCAUGGGAGUGAAAAUCGGCCCACAAGCUAAAGGAUAUGUUCAACAGCGUUAUAGCUCUCGGAUCGACCGUUCAGAAAGGCGCACGAGCGAUGUUGUAAAACAGGCCCGAAUCGCGAAAAGAGAAGACAGAGCAGCUCUGCGUGACUUCCAAGAAGAAGAGGAAGGCCUAUUGUAUGGUCCAGGCAUAGCAGAUUGACGAUAAGCAGAACAGCCGCAAUCUUGGUCACCGUCAAGCACCUCUUUUACUUGAUGUCUUCCUGUCGGCCACUAUAACUGCUAUUCUAUUAUAUAUUUUGACUUCAAAAAAUUUGUAAAGCUUAUUUAAAUGUUAAUAAAGAUUAUGCAAAAAUAA